rnacentral:lncRNA from 1 species
AUUCAAAGUGAGAGCUACGGUUAAUCAUUUACAACAAAUUUGAAUUGAAGUUGUCAUCCAACAAUGGAUGUCAAGAAUAAAUGUAAUACAGAAUGCUCACUCUAAUACUCCAUUCAACAUAUAUAUACCUAAAUAACUUGUGACUUAAAGAACAAGAACAAAACCAUCAAAUUAUUAAGGAAGAACAGGACAUAUAUAUACCUAAAUAACUUGUGACUUAAAAACAAGAACAAAAUCAUUAAAUUAUUAAGGAAGAACAGACCUGUAAACUAA